AGAGAGUUCCCAAGGAACCAGUGUCGAGAGGUGUGGUGGGCAAAGGUGGGUUUUCAGGCAGAGGAACCAGAGGUGGGCCUGGGAAUUUGAAUGGAGACUGGAAAAAUGGCCGUGGAUAAUAAUGAGCUAAGCAAGUCCUAAGGAGUGAGUUUGGGUCAUCAGAAUGCAACCAGCCCAAAGGAGGUGCUGCCUGAAGUCCUGGAUUAGACAUGCUUCCCAAAAUCCCAAACGUGUUCCCCUGUCUACAUGAAGAGAACUGGGAACACUCAUCUGCUAACUGGGCUGUGGGGAAGAUGCUACUCUUGCUCUCUGAUGUCUCAGUCGGUGGCUGAUAAUGAAAAUUGAUGGUGAUUCAUAAAGACAUCUCCUUUCCUGAGAAAACUGGAACAGCAUCUUACGUAAUCCCGAGAUUUACUUAAUUAAGGAACAUCCCAGCUAUUUG